rnacentral:rRNA from 1 species
GACGAACGCUGGCGGCGUGCUUAACACAUGCAAGUCGAGCGAUAAGGCCUUCGGGGUACGACGAGCGGCGAACGGGUAGGAGUAACAACGUGGGUGGACCUCGCCCUCCAGCUCUGGGAGUAAAGACCUGGGAAACGUAGGGUCGUAAUACUGGAUAUGACUCCACGGUGCAUGUCGUGGGGUGGAAAGCCUUGUGCGGCUGAGGAUGGGCCCGCGGCCUAUCAGCUUGUUGGUGGGGUGAUGGCCUACCAAGG